rnacentral:lncRNA from 1 species
GGAAAACAGAAACACAUGAGUAGUAGGCCAUGUUGAUAUGAAAAGUAUUUGGCUUCAGAAGAGCUGGUUGAGAAUCCUAGCUCUGCUACCAGCCACGUCUCUGAUCUUAGAAAAAUCAUUUUCCUUCUCUAGACCUUAGAAUCCUUAUCUGCAAAACGAGGGGAUUGGACUAGAUGCCCUGUGAGGCCCUGAAAGCCAACAUUUCAUCCAUCUUAACAAUCUGCCUUUAUGAAAGUUUGCUCCUAACUUGUCUCAGACCUUCCUCCCCACCACUGGUGACAAAAAGAAGGAUUUGACUCUGCCCAGCUUGUUCCAAAUGCCAGGAGCCUCCCAUCAGCAGGAUUCAAGAUAUCAAGGCCUCCCCCAUUUCAUAAAGCCAACCAAAAAAAUGAUGAUUCUGGAUGCCCCAAGGCACCUACAACUUCCCCUCAUGGAUUUUAUGAAUGACAAGUUGAUAAACUCAAAAUACAAGUCUACAGAAACCUUUCUCAAUGAGGACAUCAAAGCAGAAAAUGUUAAGUACAGACUGCCAAUGAGGGCCAUCUGGGGUCCCAAAAAACCCUUACAGACACUAUAUACUGACCUUAUAACAUCCUCCAAGACUCCAACUUACAAAAAAGAAUCUCUUCCAGAUCCGAAGAAUACGUGGGCAGAAUUCAACAUCAACAAGAUUCCUAAGCACAGUAAAUACUACUGA